rnacentral:rRNA from 1 species
GAUGAACGCUAGCGGCAGGCCUAAUACAUGCAAGUCGAACGGCAGCACAGUGUAGCAAUACAUGGGUGGCGAGUGGCGCACGGGUGCGUAACACGUAUGCAAUUUGCCCAUAACUGGGGGAUAGCCCUCCGAAAGGAGGAUUAAUACCCCAUAACCCAGCGAAGAGGCAUCUCUUUUCUGGUAAAUCUCCGGAGGUUAUGGAUGAGCAUGCGUCCGAUUAGCUAGUUGGUGAGGUAACGGCUCACCAAGGCAACGAUCGGUAGGGGGUCUGAGAGGAUGAUCCCCCACACGGGUACUGAGACACGGACCCGACUCCUACGGGAGGCAGCGGUAAGGAAUAUUGGACAAUGGAGGCAACUCUGAUCCAGCCAUGCCGCGUGAAGGAUGAAGGCCCCUACGGGUUGUAAACUUCUUUUCUCUUAGAAAAAACUACUGGUUUCGUACCGGUACUGAUUGUACAAGAGGAAUAAGCAUCGGCUAACUUCGUGCCAGCAGCCGCGGUAAUACGAAGGAUGCAAGCGUUAUCCGGAUUCACUGGGUUUAAAGGGUGUGCAGGUGGGAUAAUAAGUCAGUGGUGAAAGCCCCCGACUCAAUCGGGGAACUGCCAUAGAUACUGUUAUUCUUGAGUGUGGUUGAGGCAGAUGGAAUAUGACAUGUAGCGGUGAAAUGCUUAGAUAUGUCAUAGAACACCGAUCGCGAAGGCAGUCUGCCAAAACCAUUACUGACACUGAAACACGAAAGUGCGGGGGAUCAAACAGGAUUAGAUACCCUGGUA